ACUAGCUAUCAUUUGAAAAUUGAAUUUUACACAUCCUAUAGUUUUUACCUCAUUUAUACUUCAUAUGAUUGUUAUAAAAAGCUGGCAAUUACAUUGGAUGCAUGAUGCCAUCAUAUGAAGUCAAGAUAUGGAAUGGGGUGAAGGAGGAUAGAAUAGAAUUAAACAUCUGUGCCUUUUGCUAAUUCCUUAACCCACCCAACAACACUUUGCCCUUUUUUUGUCUGAGAAGUGAGAAACAAGUCCUAUGUAAGCGAUCACAAUUUCUAAGCAGACACAAAAAGAUGGAAAAGAAAAUAAACACCUAAAGUAACUUAAACUAGGUUAG
rnacentral:misc_RNA from 1 species